CCUACGGGGGGCAGCAGUGGGGAAUAUUGGACAAUGGGGGCAACCCUGAUCCAGCCAUGCCGCGUGUGUGAAGAAGGCCCUCGGGUUGUAAAGCACUUUCAGUGAGGAAGAACGCCUGGUGGUUAAUACCCAUCAGGAAAGACAUCACUCACAGAAGAAGCACCGGCUAACUCCGUGCCAGCAGCCGCGGUAAUACGGAGGGUGCGAGCGUUAAUCGGAAUUACUUGGCGUAAAGCGCGCGUAGGUGGCUUGAUAAGCCGGUUGUGAAAGCCCCGGGCUCAACCUGGGAACGGCAUCCGGAACUGUCAAGCUAGAGUGCAGGAGAGGAAGGUAGAAUUCCCGGUGUAGCGGUGAAAUGCGUAGAGAUCGGGAGGAAUACCAGUGGCGAAGGCGGCCUUCUGGACUGACACUGACACUGAGGUGCGAAAGCGUGGGUAGCAAACAGGAUUAGAUACCCUUGUAGUC
rnacentral:rRNA from 1 species